ensembl:lncRNA
GUUCAUGAUUUACUGUGCAUUAUGUUCUUAAGAAAAAAUAAAUGGCUGGCAGCAGGUGCACAUCGCCAUUUACCUGGCAUUCACUAUCUCACCUGAGACAGAGGGAAUGCUCUGGGCCAAGGAACACUCUACUGCUUCUGAGUGCACAAGCAAGUGUCCAAAGCUGGGAAAAGGCUUCAAGAAAACCUGUGGGGGACACCUUUUGAGGAAACCUCAUUCAGACAGCACAGAAAAGGGAACUGAGAAGACUCCUUCACAGCAGUUUGAGGCAACUGCAGGCUAGAGCCACAGCUUCCUGUCUGCCCAGCAUAUCGUUGGAGGAGCAUCUCAAGGUCGAAUGUUCCUACUGAAGGUUUCUCCAGCCCAUGGAUAUCAUCAGCUAAGGAGUUGAUUGCUGGAGACAGCCUGACUGCACAUAAAGCGCAGCCUUUGUAUCAGCCUCAGACCCUUUCCUUUUCUUAUUGCUCACCCAUAGGGGGAAAAAUGGAAAGGACAUUAAAAAAACUUCCAAAACCCUGGAGGAUGUAAACUAUGAGGUGAUCUCAUCCAAAACCAUUUCAUAAUUUGACAAACGCUACUUGGGAAACCAUUACAUAGCACUGUAUUGCCUCUUUGUUUUUAGCAUAGAAGACUGAUGUAAAUGUAUUUCAGAUCUUAUUCAUAUUAAGAAUAGACUGUUUAACUGGUUUGCUAAGAGUGUAUACAAGAAAAGCAUGUAUAUGCUUGCUAUAUAUUCAGAAGUCAGCAAUCUACUUCAGUACUCCUUUGUAAAUGCCUGCUUUGGGAAUAUCUAAAGUAUUCUGUGAUAUCUAGAUUUAACUUUUGGGUAAGUUAGUUAGAGCUACUUGUAUACAACAAGCACACCUUCCACUGAGUAAUCCAUUUCCAAAUGUUUUCUGUCAAAAUGCUUGAGAUAUGAUGUUAUGAGACUUUUAAUAAAAUAUUUGGUUUUAGUUUAAGAUGGCAAUGGUGAACACACUGCUUGUUAAUAACAGGACGUACUGUGAAUGACUACUUUCAACAGAGUAAUAUGUUGCUUUCUGCAACAAUGAUGUUAGCCACCUGUGUUAGGCCUCUGCGCUCACUGACCAAUAGCCUGAUCAGGGCCAAAUGACUGCAGACGCACACCAAUAUGAUGAGCAGCAAAAUGGUGUUUAAUCACUACCAACCACAGCUUAUAUAUAUUUUUACCUAAACAACCGUGCUGUCAUGUCCCACCCUGAUUGGUUUGCACCAGAUAACAUUGUGCCUUAUUUGGCCGUUUCCUCAUUCUUUCACAUCUUUCUUCUCCUGUUUUCUCUGAAUCAAGGUCAGCACGAUAGCACUGUCUCUCUAUGCUUAGGGAGAAGCCUGUCCCAUACAUCCUGUACCCCCGCAAGAUGCCUACUACAACAGUAAUAGAGUACUGCAAACAAAGAGUAACUUAAGUUAGUAAAAAGGAAAUAAUUUUGGGACUCUACUGAUUAAGAUGCUAAAGUAGUUUGCAUUGUUUAUUUUUAAAAAAGCUAAUUAAAGAGUUCACAUUCUAUCACGCAUAGUAAAGAACUCCUGACAGGCAUUGUUAUAAUAUGAAAUGCUGCAGUCUCCAGUAGAGUUUAAUUUAUAGUAACAAAAAAGAAGGGAAAAGAAGAAAUAAAACAAUUGAAAUGUUGCAAACACACUGCCUUAAGCUCAGGGGAGGCUUUUCAGAAAACUGUUUGGUAGAAGCAAUGCAAACUAAGAUACAGCCCUGGGAAUAUUUUUCCUGAAAUUGUUUCAGGUUGAAGUGUUUAAAGGAGGUAGUAUAUUGUAUAAAUCACUGGCUAAGAAAUUGAAGAAUUAUAGCUAUUCAUCAAAGGCUAUUCGCACUGAUUUUGCAAAAUGAGCAAAAGAUACUGGUGUAAAUCUUCACUGGAAAACUAGUGAUUCCUGCACCAGAUCAACAGAGGUCCAUAUUGUUACCAAUUACCAGUAUUAACUUAGUAGUAAAUAGCAUAAUGUUUGAUAAACAUAUUCAGUUUUAACAUCUUGUAUAGUUGUGAUAAUUUUUUCCAAAUGUACAAAGGCUGCUCCAAAAGUAGCAUCUCCUAUUUUAUUAUGUUGGCCUUUGACAUCAGAGGUGGUUGCUGACACAGAGGUUGAACUUUCCACCACUAUCCCCUUAUGUUUUGUUACUUUGCAACAGAUGGCAGCAGAGGAGCAGUCUGUCAAAAUGGUAUCUGACAGGGAAAUGUGUAUGAAAUAAAGGUAUGUCACUGACUUCUUCCAUAUGGAAAAAAAGUGGCAUUCGUUGUCAUUCACUGACACUUCUUGAAUGUUUAUUGAAACCAAAUAGUGGGUAUGAGCACAGUGAGGUGGUGGGUGCGUUUCAGCAGUGUCAACAAGAAAGGGUCAACUCUGCUGUAAAUGUUUAUGGGUAUGGCAUGAAGGCUCUUUCACUGGUGAAAGUGUAUAGCUAAUAGUGAUGUCUGUGUUGAAAAAUUGUGUUUUGUAGCGACAAUUUGUAGUGUUAUUGUGUUCUUUGUUGUAGUUCCCAUGGAAAUAAAUAGAAGGCAUUACUUUUGGAGAGACCUAUGUAUUUUUGGCCUGAGACCACUUUGGAAACUGUAUUGAUUUCACUCUUGAUUAAUAACUUGCUUACGAAUAAUGACAGUUGAUGCAUGUCAAUUAUUUUAAAUCAGUCAACCGUUGUUUGUUUACUUUAAUAUUAUUUACUUUUACAACAAUAUUUUUUUUCAUAUCUACUAAGUUGACAUCGAGAAGAUUAUUGUACUUUUGGCUAGUACAUUUUUUGCAGGAUAUAUGUGAAGGCAAGUUUUCUUUGCCAUUAGCAGCCCUUGAGAUCUUCAUAUUUUACUUUCCUGUCAGGUAGAUGUAUGAGCUGUUACAGAGGACAGGGAGUUGAGCUAUAAGACAUUGACUACACAGAAGACAGACUGCUCUGUCUCACUUUUUGUCACCAGUAAAAGUGUAUGAUUUGCCUUCCUAAUGUUUGACUUUGUGUCAGAGUUGGAGGAAAAUUAGUUGGCAGAGAACAAACUCAGAUAAAGCAGUAGCAUGAGAAAGGGCCACAUAUGCCUAGUGUUUCUUGCCAUGUAUGUUGAGCAGAUCUUUUCCAUCUUUGUUCAACAUAUCAUAACCAUGGAGGUCUGGGACACAAGACUUCUGAUGGAAUCUACACACACAGUCCAAACAUAUAUAUGGCUGUGGUCGUAUGAUAUAUGAUCCCACUUAUAUCAUUCUUUAUUUCAUUAUCUGUAUUUUAAAUUAGUGGAAAUUAAUCACUUCAUUAUUGCUUGCAAGGCACUAAUACAACUUACUUCCACAAGAGAGCAUUUACACUUAGUACAAAUUGUAUUUAAGGAAACAUUUCCUCAUUUAAAUGGAAAUGAAAACACAGACAUUUUUACUAGUCAGAUUUGAAAUGUGGACAGACUUCUGCAAGAAGACAGUACAAAUCUCUGUGAAUCAGGGUGUAAACCUACAUUUCUACCAGCCAGACAUUGCUGUUGUAGGUUGAAUUAUCAGAUGUGUUCUACACUAAGACUACUUGAAACAUCUGGCUUGUCACAUGGAUGCUUGGAUGUUAGUCAUAUCAUAUUAUCCCAGAUCUCUGAAAAUUGUGGGUUUUUUUACAGGCACAACUGACUGUUUUGUUAUUUUAACUGUAGUCUCAGAACUGGAGUCUUAUGUGUCACCUUUGUCUGCCUUCUUCAUGUUCCCAUAUGGAGAAGAUCAUCUGUUUACAUUUUGUUAACUGUAGAACAGAAUAUUUAUUUAAAUAAAUUCAC